UAGGGAAUCUUCCACAAUGGACGCAAGUCUGAUGGAGCAACGCCGCGUGAGUGAAGAAGGUCUUCGGAUCGUAAAGCUCUGUUGUUGGUGAAGAAGGAUAGAGGCAGUAACUGGUCUUUAUUUGACGGUAAUCAACCAGAAAGUCACGGCUAACUACGUGCCAGCAGCCGCGGUAAUACGUAGGUGGCAAGCGUUGUCCGGAUUUAUUGGGCGUAAAGCGAGCGCAGGCGGAAUGAUAAGUCUGAUGUGAAAGCCCACGGCUCAACCGUGGAACUGCAUCGGAAACUGUCAUUCUUGAGUGCAGAAGAGGAGAGUGACUCCAUGUGUAGGCGGAUGGCAAUG
rnacentral:rRNA from 1 species